AUGACGGAUCACCACCUCAAGCUGAACCUCGGCAAGACGGAGCUGCUCUUCCUCCCAGGGAAGGACUGCCCGUUCCAUGAUCUCGCCAUCACGGUUGACAACUCCAUUGUGUCCUCCUCCCAGAGUGCUAAGAACCUUGGCGUGACCCUGGACAACACCCUGUCGUUCUCCACUAACAUCAAGGCGGUGACUCGAUCCUGUAGGUUCAUGCUCUACAACAUUCGCAGAGUACGACCCUGCCUCACACAGGAAGCGGCGCAGGUCCUAAUCCAGGCACUUGUCAUCUCCCGUCUGGAUUACUGCAACUCGCUGUUGGCUGGGCUCCCUGCCUGUGCCAUUAAACCCCUACAACUCAUCCAGAACGCCGCAGCCCGUCUGGUGUUCAACCUUCCCAAGUUCUCUCACGUCACCCCGCUCCUCCGCUCUCUCCACUGGCUUCCAGUUGAAGCACGCAUCCGCUACAAGACCAUGGUGCUUGCCUACGGAGCUGUGAGGGGAACGGCACCUCCGUACCUUCAGGGCUCUGUUCUAGGCCCUCUCCUAUUCUCGCUAUAUACCAAGUCACUUGGCUCUGUCAUAUCCUCACAUGGUCUCUCCUAUCAUUGCUAUGCAGACGACACACAAUUAAUCUUCUCCUUUCCCCCUUCUGAUAACCAGGUGGCGAAUCGCAUCUCUGCAUGUCUGGCAGACAUAUCAGUGUGGAUGACGGAUCACCACCUCAAGCUGAACCUCGGCAAGACGGAGCUGCUCUUCCUCCCAGGGAAGGACUGCCCGUUCCAUGAUCUCGCCAUCACGGUUGACAACUCCAUUGUGUCCUCCUCCCAGAGUGCUAAGAACCUUGGCGUGACCCUGGACAACACCCUGUCGUUCUCCACUAACAUCAAGGCGGUGACUCGAUCCUGUAGGUUCAUGCUCUACAACAUUCGCAGAGUACGACCCUGCCUCACACAGGAAGCGGCGCAGGUCCUAAUCCAGGCACUUGUCAUCUCCCGUCUGGAUUACUGCAACUCGCUGUUGGCUGGGCUCCCUGCCUGUGCCAUUAAACCCCUACAACUCAUCCAGAACGCCGCAGCCCGUCUGGUGUUCAACCUUCCCAAGUUCUCUCACGUCACCCCGCUCCUCCGCUCUCUCCACUGGCUUCCAGUUGAAGCACGCAUCCGCUACAAGACCAUGGUGCUUGCCUACGGAGCUGUGAGGGGAACGGCACCUCCGUACCUUCAGGCUCUGAUCAGGCCCUACACCCAAACAAGGGCACUGCGUUCAUCCACCUCUGGCCUGCUUGCCUCCCUACCUCUGAGGAAGCACAGUUCCCGCUCAGCCCAGUUAAAACUGUUCACUGCUCUGGCACCCCAAUGGUGGAACAAGCUUCCUCACGACGCCAGGACAGCGGAGUCAAUCGCCACCUUCCGGAGACACCUGAAACCCCACCUCUUUAAGGAAUACCUAGGAUAG
rnacentral:lncRNA from 8 species